rnacentral:rRNA from 1 species
UAUAGGGGGUGCUUACCAUGCAAGUCGAACGAUGAACCGCUUUCGGGCGGGGAUUAGUGGCGAACGGGUGAGUAACACGUGGGCAAUCUGCCCUGCACUCUGGGACAAGCCCUGGAAACGGGGUCUAAUACCGGAUAUGACUGUCCAUCGCAUGGUGGAUGGUGUAAAGCUCCGGCGGUGCAGGAUGAGCCCGCGGCCUAUCAGCUUGUUGGUGAGGUAGUGGCUCACCAAGGCGACGACGGGUAGCCGGCCUGAGAGGGCGACCGGCCACACUGGGACUGAGACACGGCCCAGACUCCUACGGGAGGCAGCAGUGGGGAAUAUUGCACAAUGGGCGAAAGCCUGAUGCAGCGACGCCGCGUGAGGGAUGACGGCCUUCGGGUUGUAAACCUCUUUCAGCAGGGAAGAAGCGAAAGUGACGGUACCUGCAGAAGAAGCGCCGGCUAACUACGUGCCAGCAGCCGCGGUAAUACGUAGGGCGCAAGCGUUGUCCGGAAUUAUUGGGCGUAAAGAGCUCGUAGGCGGCUUGUCACGUCGGUUGUGAAAGCCCGGGGCUUAACCCCGGGUCUGCAGUCGAUACGGGCAGGCUAGAGUUCGGUAGGGGAGAUCGGAAUUCCUGGUGUAGCGGUGAAAUGCGCAGAUAUCAGGAGGAACACCGGUGGCGAAGGCGGAUCUCUGGGCCGAUACUGACGCUGAGGAGCGAAAGCGUGGGGAGCGAACAGGAUUAGAUACCCUGGUAGUCCACGCCGUAAACGGUGGGCACUAGGUGUGGGCAACAUUCCACGUUGUCCGUGCCGCAGCUAACGCAUUAAGUGCCCCGCCUGGGGAGUACGGCCGCAGGCUAAAACUCAAAUGAAUUGACGGGGGCCCGUACAAGCGGCGGAGCAUGUGGCUUAUUUCGACGCACGCGAAGAACCUUACCAAGGCUUGAAAUACACCGGACACCUCUGAAUACAGGCGCCCUCUUGUUGUUCGGUGUACAGUUGUCGCGUU